UUUGCCUGCUUGUUGGCGAAUUUAAAAACAACAACAACAAUAUCGUUGCCGGCUUCCGGAUUUCAUUUCAUUUUAUUAUAAUUAUGAGGAUAUAAUAAUAAUAAAAUGUACGUAAAGGCUUAUUUCUAGCAACAUUAACCACAAUUAACUUAUUUAAUACUGUAAAUAAUGAUGAGAGCGAUUAUUGAUUUCGAAGAAAACAAUUAUCAACUUAAUUUAAGCUGCAGAAAAAAACAGAUUUCUCUUAAACCUGGGGGCCCAAACGCCCAUAGAAAAUGGGCAUUGUCCUUUAAAGGAGACUGAAACGAUUACAUACAUUUUUGGGCCCGAAUGUAACGUGAUGAAACUAAUAUGAAUUAAUAGAUUCAGAUUUAUCAGUACCUUGCUGAAAAUUAUAAAAGUUUUCUCAAUCUGAGAGCCGAGUUAAUAAAGAUUUAGUAAAAGUUAGGUUAUGUUACAAUCUCUUUAAAAGAGCUGAAUAAUAACUUAUUUAAGCAUAAGUAAAUGUUUAUUAUAUCCAUUGGAUAAUCUUUUAAAUGUCAUAUUAUGAAUGAAUAUCUAUACUAAUAUUAUAAAGAGGAAAGAUUUGUUUGUUUCGAAUAGGCUCCGAAACUACUGGACCGAUUUGAAAAAUUCUUUUUCCAUUAGAAGCUGACAUUGUCCCUGAUGAACAUAGGCUACUUUUUUUAAUUUUUUAUUUAUUUAUUGGAGUUUACUCCUUUAGAAUCGAUUUACAUAUAUAGGCCCGGGGUAUGAAAAUUAUGGGGACCAAAAUCGUACUAGCAUGUCACACGAAAUGCGUUAUGCGCCUGAUUGCGCAUGUCACACGAAAUGCGUUAUCGCAGGUGACGCCGGGCUGCUGCGCCGGCAGUCCGCCACAAAGCCUCGUACUGAUCGCGCGUUUCUCUCAUUAUUGUAUUUUCAUAUAUUUGUUAGUCGUUUGUUUUGUGUCUCGUUAAUUUGUUAAUAAUCUGUAGUGUAUCGUGUUGUCGUAAUAUAGAACUAUUUCUCGUA